rnacentral:rRNA from 1 species
UCGAAGGUAGCAUAAUCAGUAGUUUUUUAAUUGAGAACUUGUAUGAAUGGUUGAACAAAAUAUAAACUGUUUCAAUUAAUUUAAUUAAAAUUUAAUUUUUUAGUAAAAAAGCUAAAAUAUUUUAAAAAGACGAGAAGACCCUAUAGAUUUUAAAUAUAACAAAUAUUAUUUUUAUAAAGAUUAAUUUGAUUAUUAUAUUUAUUAUAUUUUUAUUGGGGUGAUAAUAAAAUUUAAUAAACUUAUAUUUAAAUUUAACAUUAUAAAUGAUUUAUUGAUCCAUUUUUAUGAUUAUAAGAUUAAAUUACCUUAGGGAUAACAGCGUAAUUUUUAUAUAAAGUUCAUAUUAAUAUAAGAUUUUGCGACCUCGAUGUUGGAUUAA